rnacentral:rRNA from 1 species
CUAAUACCGCAUAACACAUUGGAUGGCAUCGUCCGAUGUUGAAAGCUUCGGUGGAUACGGAUGAGCUCGCGAGACAUUAGUUAGUUGGCGGGGUAACGGCCCACCAAGACCGCGAUGUCUAGGGGAACUGAGAGGUUGGUCCCCCACACUGGAACUGAGACACGGUCCAGACUCCUACGGGAGGCAGCAGUGAGGAAUAUUGGACAAUGGCCGGAAGGCUGAUCCAGCCAUGCCGCGUGAAGGAUAAGGUCCUAUGGAUUGUAAACUUCUUUUGAGAGGGAGCAAUAAGGUGUACGCGUACACCGAUGAGAGUACCUUUCGAAUAAGCAUCGGCUAACUCCGUGCCAGCAGCCGCGGUAAUACGGAGGAUGCGAGCGUUAUCCGGAUUUAUUGGGUUUAAAGGGUGCGUAGGCGGUUUAUCAAGUCAGCGGUGAAACGCAAGGGCUUAACCCUUGACCUGCCGUUGAAACUGGUGGACUGGAAUGCGGAUGCUGUGGGAGGAAUGUGUGGUGUAGCGGUGAAAUGCAUAGAUAUCACACAGAACACCGAUUGCGAAGGCAUCUCACAAAUCCGUGAUUGACGCUGAGGCACGAAAGUGUGGGGAUCAAACAGGAUUAGAUACCCUGGUAGUCCACACUGUAAACGAUGAUGACUCGCUGUCGGCGAUAUACAGUCGGUGGCCAAGCGAAAGCGAUAAGUCAUCCACCUGGGGAGUACGACCGCAAGGUUGAAACUCAAAGGAAUUGACGGGGGCCCGCACAAGCGGAGGAACAUGUGGUUUAAUUCGAUGAUACGCGAGGAACCUUACCCGGGCUCGAACGGUACAGGAAGGAUCAAGAGAUUGAGACGCCCUUCGGGGCCUGUAUCGAGGUGCUGCAUGGUUGUCGUCAGCUCGUGCCGUGAGGUGUCGGCUUAAGUGCCAUAACGAGCGCAACCCUUGCCGUCAGUUACCAGCACGUAGAGGUGGGGACUCUGGCGGGACUGCCACCGUAAGGUGAGAGGAGGGGGGGAUGACGUCAAAUCAGCACGGCCCUUACGUCCGGGGCGACACACGUGUUACAAUGGUGGGUACAGAGGGCAGCUACCUGGCGACAGGAUGCAAAUCUCGAAAACCCAUCUCAGUUCGGAUCGGAGUCUGCAACUCGACUCCGUGAAGUUGGAUUCGCUAGUAAUCGCGCAUCAGCCAUGGCGCGGUGAAUACGUU